rnacentral:piRNA from 1 species
UUGUCUUUGAAAGAUUAGGCACUACCCUCC